UACGUAGGGUGCAAGCGUUGUCCGGAAUUACUGGGCGUAAAGAGCUCGUAGGUGGUUUGUCACGUUGUUCGUGAAAACUCACAGCUUAACUGUGGGCGUGCGGGCGAUACGGGCAGACUAGAGUACUGCAGGGGAGACUGGAAUUCCUGGUGUAGCGGUGGAAUGCGCAGAUAUCAGGAGGAACACCGGUGGCGAAGGCGGGUCUCUGGGCAGUAACUGACGCUGAGGAGCGAAAGCGUGGGGAGCGAACAGG
rnacentral:rRNA from 1 species